rnacentral:rRNA from 1 species
UACGGAGGGGGCUAGCGUUGUUCGGAAUUACUGGGCGUAAAGCGCACGUAGGCGGCUUUGUAAGUUAGAGGUGAAAGCCCGGGGCUCAACUCCGGAAUUGCCUUUAAGACUGCAUCGCUAGAAUUGUGGAGAGGUAAGUGGAAUUCCGAGUGUAGAGGUGAAAUUCGUAGAUAUUCGGAAGAAACACCAGUGGCGAAGGCGACUUACUGGACACAUAUUGACG